AGGCUCUUCCGGUUCUGGUCCCGUCUGCACUGCAUCUGUACUGGAAUUUUCCCAGUCUUCAUUGGCAGCAGGUGGCUGUCUUCUGUGCCGCUUUCCAUCAUUCCAGGGACCCACAGAAACCCGAGGCGGCGGGCUGUCUCCCGUGGGUCUGGUCUGCCACGUUGCCAGGUCCCGCAGUGCUAAGCCGCCAAACACAGGGCCACAAUGCGUCCUGCAGGAGCUGCAGUUGGAGGCAGGAGCUGCAGUUGGAGUCUCUACAGUAUUCCCCGUGGCUAGAAAAAGGAGCCUGCCUAGAGAUCCAUCAGCAGAUAAAUGUAGAAAGAAAACAGGUAGAUGCGGCCACAUGAUGGGACUUUCUUCUGCUGUAACGAACACCAAAAGCAUGGCACCUGCCUGAAGCUGGAUGGACCUGGAAAUUAUGAAACACUUGGUGAAGACGUGAGGCAUCCCUGAUGCAACAAGGACUUAAAGAAGAGACUAGUGGCUAAUCCUUGAACUUCAUCUCAAGAGGCUGUGCUGUUUUGUUUUGUUUGGGGGGAGGUGCAUUGUCUUCUCAUUGUAUCCUGUUCCUGUCCAGGUCACCACCGCCACUGUCUAGCCGAGUCACUCUGUGCCUUCCCUUCAUGCCUGACCCCAUUUGCUAGGAGCUGGGGCAUAGGUCACCCCGCCCCUUUCCCUGCCUCCCCUCUGAAGGGUUUCUUGCCAAUGCUAGCCACAGCCAACCCCACAGGAGCAAGGUUCUCCUUUGCAAAGUUCAUAGAGUCCCCGGGCUACGGUACAAUGUUUCCAAAUUUGCUGCUAGGUUGUUUGCAGCUGGGAGCAGAUUUUCUAAUCUAAGGGAGGUUGGGAGUGGAGUUGACAUUUUUUUUCUUAGUUCAGCUUACAACAGUGCACCAGCUUGAUAUUUGUGAUUUUUUUUUUUGUGGAGUAAAGGGACCCUAAGUGUUGAUGUUUGAGACUUUUUGCAUCUACCACAUCACCCUUGGGCAUCUUGGUUUGUGAGUGGCCUGCUUACCCUUUUUAUUCAAUUCUUAUAUGCCAUGUGCAAGCUUCCUUCUUAUUAUCGUAAACAUACAAUAUUUCUCUAAUAUUAAUUUAGUAAAUUGUGUCCCUCUAUCCAGUUCAAAUGCAACAUACCACAGUGACUUGCUGAAUUCACAGACAAAAUAAUAAUAGAUCACCACAUGUGCUGACCAAAAUCUAGCCAUAUCCCUGCGACUGCCUGAGGCCCAUGAGGCUCUCACUGUUUAAGGGCUGAGCUACAAUGGGUGAA